rnacentral:misc_RNA from 1 species
GCAAACUUGGUCAUUUAGAGGAAGUAAAAGUCGUAACAAGGUUUCCGUAGGUGAACCUGCGGAAGGAUCAUUAUUGAAUACACUUGGUUAAAGUUGUUGCUGGCUCUCACUAGAGCAUAUAUGUGCACACUUGCCAUUUUGUUUAAUAUCACCUGUGCACCUUUUGUAGGACAGAUAAGUAAAUGAUUAUCAAGUUUGUUUUAACUUGGUUUGUGGGUUUGCUGUUACGAUAAGACAGCUUACCCUGUUACAUCUGUUCUAUGUAUUUUCUACAUAUACCCUGUAUAAAAGUGUAUUAGAAUAUUGGAUUGGGGGUGUUGUAAUUAUUCAUUCCCCUUAAAUAUUAUACAACUUUCAACAACGGAUCUCUUGGCUCUCGCAUCGAUGAAGAACGCAGC